rnacentral:rRNA from 1 species
CCCACCAAGGCGACGAUUGGUAGCCGGACUGAGAGGUUGAACGGCCACAUUGGGACUGAGACACGGCCCAGACUCCUACGGGAGGCAGCAGUGGGGGAUAUUGCACAAUGGGGGAAACCCUGAUGCAGCGACGCCGCGUGGAGGAAGAAGGUUUUCGGAUUGUAAACUCCUGUCGUUAGGGACGAUAAUGACGGUACCUAACAAGAAAGCACCGGCUAACUACGUGCCAGCAGCCGCGGUAAAACGUAGGGUGCAAGCGUUGUCCGGAAUUACUGGGUGUAAAGGGAGCGCAGGCGGGAAGACAAGUUGGAAGUGAAAACCAUGGGCUCAACCCAUGAAUUGCUUUCAAAACUGUUUUUCUUGAGUAGUGCAGAGGUAGAUGGAAUUCCCGGUGUAGCGGUGGAAUGCGUAGAUAUCGGGAGGAACACCAGUGGCGAAGGCGGUCUACUGGGCACCAACUGACGCUGAGGCUCGAAAGCAUGGGUAGCAAACAGGAUUAGAUACCCUGGUAGUCCAUGCCGUAAACGAUGAUAACGAGGUGUUGGGGGAUUGACCCCCUCAGUGCCGCAG